rnacentral:RNase_P_RNA from 1 species
CUGGGUAUUCGUACCGAGAGGAAAGUCCGGGCUCCAUAGAGCGGGAUGCUGGCUAACGGCCAGGCGCUAUAAGCCGCAAGGCGAAGGCGACGGAAAGUGCAACAGAGAGCAGACCGCCGAUGGCUCCGGUGCAAACCGGGGAUCAGGCAAGGGUGAAACGGUGGCCGGACCUCAGGUCCGGACGGGCUGGUGCAAGCCGGUUCGGGGUAAGAGCCCACCGCGGCUGUGGCGACACAGACGGCACGGUAAACCCCAUUCGGAGCAAGGCCAAAUAGGGGAGCAUCAGGCGUGGCUCGCGCUGCUCCCGGGUAGGCUGCUUGAGCGC